rnacentral:rRNA from 1 species
UUCGCCCUUAGAGUUUGAUCCUGGCUCAGGAUGAACGCUGGCGGCGUGCUUAACACAUGCAAGUCGAACGGGAAAUACUUCAUUGAGACUUCGGUGGAUUUGAUCUAUUUCUAGUGGCGGACGGGUGAGUAACGCGUGGGUAACCUGCCUUAUACAGGGGGAUAACAGUCAGAAAUGACUGCUAAUACCGCAUAAGCGCACGGGACCGCAUGGUCCAGUGUGAAAAACUUCGGUGGUGUGAGAUGGACCCGCGUUUGAUUAGCUAGUUGGUGGGGUAACGGCCUACCAAGGCGACGAUCAAUAGCCGACCUGAGAGGGUGACCGGCCACAUUGGGACUGAGACACGGCCCAAACUCCUACGGGAGGCAGCAGUGGGGAAUAUUGCACAAUGGGGGAAACCCUGAUGCAGCGACGCCGCGUGGAGGAAGAAGGUCUUCGGAUUGUAAACUCCUGUUGUUGAGGAAGAUAAUGACGGUACUCAACAAGGAAGUGACGGCUAACUACGUGCCAGCAGCCGCGGUAAAACGUAGGUCACAAGCGUUGUCCGGAAUUACUGGGUGUAAAGGGAGCGCAGGCGGGCGAUCAAGUUGGAAGUGAAAUCCAUGGGCUCAACCCAUGAACUGCUUUCAAAACUGGUCGUCUUGAGUAGUGCAGAGGUAGGCGGAAUUCCCGGUGUAGCGGUGGAAUGCGUAGAUAUCGGGAGGAACACCAGUGGCGAAGGCGGCCUACUGGGCACCAACUGACGCUGAGGCUCGAAAGUGUGGGUAGCAAACAGGAUUAGAUACCCUGGUAGUCCACACCGUAAACGAUGAUUACUAGGUGUUGGGAGAUUGACCCUCUCAGUGCCGCAGUUAACACAAUAAGUAAUCCACCUGGGGAGUACGACCGCAAGGUUGAAACUCAAAGGAAUUGACGGGGGCCCGCACAAGCAGUGGAGUAUGUGGUUUAAUUCGACGCAACGCGAAGAACCUUACCAAGUCUUGACAUCCCUUGGCGAUGCUGGAAACAGUAUUUCUCUUCGGAGCAAGGAGACAGGUGGUGCAUGGUUGUCGUCAGCCCGUGUCGUGAGAUGUUGGGUUAAGUCCCGCAACGAGCGCAACCCUUAUGGUCAGUUACUACGCAAGAGGACUCUGGCCAGACUGCCGUUGACAAAACGGAGGAAGGUGGGGAUGACGUCAAAUCAUCAUGCCCUUUAUGACUUGGGCUACACACGUACUACAAUGGCGUUAAACAAAGAGAAGCAAGACCGCGAGGUGGAGCAAAACUCAGAAACAACGUCCCAGUUCGGACUGCAGGCUGCAACUCGCCUGCACGAAGUCGGAAUUGCUAGUAAUCGUGGAUCAGCAUGCCACGGUGAAUACGUUCCCGGGCCUUGCACUCACCGCCCGUCA